rnacentral:rRNA from 1 species
CCUGGUGGCGAGUGGCGAACGGGUGAGUAAUACAUCGGAACAUGUCCUGUAGUGGGGGAUAGCCCGGCGAAAGCCGGAUUAAUCCCGCAUACGAUCUACGGAUGAAAGCGGGGGACCUUCGGGCCUCGCGCUAUAGGGUUGGCCAGAUGGCUGAUUAGCUAGUUGGUGGGGUAAAGGCCUACCAAGGCGACGAUCAGUAGCUGGUCUCGAGAGGCCGCCAGCCACACUGGGACUAAGACCGGCCCAGACUCCUACGGGAGGCAGCAGUGGGGAAUUUUGGACAAUGGGCGAAAGCCUGAUCCAGCAAUGCCGCGUGUGUGAAGAAGGCCUUCGGGUUGUAAAGCACUUUUGUGCCGGAAAGAAAUCCAUGGUUACUAAUAUAGCCGGGGGAUGACGGUGCUGAAGAAU